AGGGCAUCCACAUUAAAGCAGAGUUAGAAAUGUGUCACAACUGAAUUCAUUUCUCAAAUUUGCUUUCUCAUAGGAGGCUGAUAAUGGUUCCUAAGCAACAGGUUUCUGUUCCCACUCUUAGGAGUCUCAGGACCACCAUGUGGCAGUUAGGAUUGGAAAGAUCCAGAUCUCAUGUUCAUUAGAUUAUUGUGAUGGCUAUAUUCUAACUUGGGACAAAUGGAACAGAUUUCAUGCCGGUCUUGUGGAGGAUAAGUCACUCGGCUGGUGCAGUGCUGCUUCCUGAGAAUGCUACAGAGAAGAAUCUAGAUCUAGCCUGCACACCGUUUCUCCCCUUCAACAGGCACAAGACUCGUAAAUGUGAGGGAAAGAAAAAUCAGGGGUUACAAAGAGCUUUUAUGGCAAUUUCUUCUCUAUCAGGUGGCAACGUGAAAAGCUUUGACAUUAUUAAACCUCCUAAAGCUUAUUCCCAAGUUUAGGACUUAUCUGGUAAGCUGACUAAAGAAUAGUUUCCCUUUUGAUUAGACUCCGUUAUAUAGAAACUUCUCAUCUGAGUUUUAA
rnacentral:lncRNA from 1 species